rnacentral:rRNA from 1 species
GUCUAUGGCCAUGCCACCCUGAAUGUGCCCGAUCUCGUCUGAUCUCGGAAGCUAAGCAGGGUUGGGCCUGGUUAGCACUUGGAUGGGAGACCACCUUGGAAUACUAGGUGCUGUAGGCA